rnacentral:rRNA from 1 species
GAUGAACGCUGGCGGCGUGCCUAAUACAUGCAAGUCGAGCGAACGGACGAGAAGCUUGCUUCUCUGAUGUUAGCGGCGGACGGGUGAGUAACACGUGGAUAACCUACCUAUAAGACUGGGAUAACUUCGGGAAACCGGAGCUAAUACCGGAUGAUAUUUUGAACCGCAUGGUUCAAAAGUGAAAGACGGUCUUGCUGUCACUUAUAGAUGGAUCCGCGCUGCAUUAGCUAGUUGGUAAGGUAACGGCUUACCAAGGCAACGAUGCAUAGCCGACCUGAGAGGGUGAUCGGCCACACUGGAACUGAGACACGGUCCAGACUCCUACGGGAGGCAGCAGUAGGGAAUCUUCCGCAAUGGGCGAAAGCCUGACGGAGCAACGCCGCGUGAGUGAUGAAGGUCUUCGGAUCGUAAAACUCUGUUAUUAGGGAAGAACAUAUGUGUAAGUAACUGUGCACAUCUUGACGGUACCUAAUCAGAAAGCCACGGCUAACUACGUGCCAGCAGCCGCGGUAAUACGUAGGUGGCAAGCGUUAUCCGGAAUUAUUGGGCGUAAAGCGCGCGUAGGCGGUUUUUUAAGUCUGAUGUGAAAGCCCACGGCUCAACCGUGGAGGGUCAUUGGAAACUGGAAAACUUGAGUGCAGAAGAGGAAAGUGGAAUUCCAUGUGUAGCGGUGAAAUGCGCAGAGAUAUGGAGGAACACCAGUGGCGAAGGCGACUUUCUGGUCUGUAACUGACGCUGAUGUGCGAAAGCGUGGGGAUCAAACAGGAUUAGAUACCCUGGUAGUCCACGCCGUAAACGAUGAGUGCUAAGUGUUAGGGGGUUUCCGCCCCUUAGUGCUGCAGCUAACGCAUUAAGCACUCCGCCUGGGGAGUACGACCGCAAGGUUGAAACUCAAAGGAAUUGACGGGGACCCGCACAAGCGGUGGAGCAUGUGGUUUAAUUCGAAGCAACGCGAAGAACCUUACCAAAUCUUGACAUCCUUUGACAACUCUAGAGAUAGAGCCUUCCCCUUCGGGGGGGACAAAGUGACAGGUGGUGCAUGGUUGUCGUCAGCUCGUGUCGUGAGAUGUUGGGUUAAGUCCCGCAACGAGCGCAACCCUUAAGCUUAGUUGCCAUCAUUAAGUUGGGCACUCUAAGUUGGCUGCCGGUGACAAACCGGAGGAAGGUGGGGAUGACGUCAAAUCAUCAUGCCCCUUAUGAUUUGGGCUACACACGUGCUACAAUGGACAAUACAAAGGGCAGCGAAACCGCGAGGCCAAGCAAAUCCCAUAAAGUUGUUCUCAGUUCGGAUUGUAGUCUGCAACUCGACUACAUGAAGCUGGAAUCGCUAGUAAUCGUAGAUCAGCAUGCUACGGUGAAUACGUUCCCGGGUCU